rnacentral:rRNA from 1 species
AUAAAAAGUUACUCAAGCGCACACAAUGGAUGCCUUGACAUAAGAUACCGAUGAAGGACGUAGUAGACUGCGAUAAGCUUCGGGGAGCUGUCAAACAAGCUUUGAACCGAAGAUUUCCGAAUGGGGAAACCCUACUGGGGUCAUGCCUAGUAACUCUUAUCUGAACACAUAGGGUAAGAAGAGGGAACCGGGGGAACUGAAACAUCUUAGUACCUCGAGGAAGAGAAAAUAACCAAUGAUUCUGGGAGUAGUGGCGAGCGAAACUGGAAUAGCCCAAACCUUUAAUACUUCGGAUAUGGGAUUAAGCUUAUGGUCCUGUUAUAGGGAAUAAGAUAAGCCCAAGCAAAAAUCGCAUUUUUUGCCUGGCGCGAUAAGAAAAAACCGUAGGUUUUGUCUUAUAUCCGAUAAGUUGGUAGACGAAUGUAUUACAGGGGUUGUGACAUAGUAAACAACUACUACGGAGAGCCUAAAUUAUUUAGGAAAUCCGUAGUGGAAGCAAGUGCUACCACGAACUUGCAUAAGGUCAGAAAUUGCGAAGCGAGCAGAAUAGUCUGGAAAGACUAGCCAAAGACGGUGAUAGCCCGGUAUGUUAAGUAUUCGCAACCUUAUAUUUAUUAUUGUCGAGUAGAACGGGACACGAGAAACCCUGUUUGAAUCUGGGACGACCACGUUCCAAGGCUAAAUAUAUCUUAUGAUCGAUAGUGAACAAGUACCGUGAGGGAAAGGCGAAAAGAACCCCGGGAGGGGAGUGAAAUAGAACCUGAAAUUAUGUGCGUACAAGGAGUCAGAGCCCUUCGGGGUGAUGGCGUGCUUUUUGUAGAACGAUCCAGCGAGUUAUUCUUAUAUGCGAGCUUAAGCCAUUUGGCGGAGGCGUAGUGAAAGCGAGCCUGAAUAGGGCGAAGGCAUAUCCUCACUGAGCAAAACAGCCUGUGAACGCAUAACACUGAUUUUGACAAAGUAAAAUUUUUGAAACGUAUAAGUCAAUACGUUAAAAAACUUUUACAAAGUCAAAACCUUGUGAUCUGUGCUCACAGACAUAUUUUGUCCAGCGAGGAUAUGCCUAGAGUAUAUAGGAGUAGACCCGAAACCAGGUGACCUAACCAUGGGCAGGUUGAAGCGCAGGUAAAACUGCGUGGAGGACCGAACCGUAGCGAGUUGCAACACGCCCGGAUGACCUGUGGUUAGCGGUGAAAUGCCAAUCGAACCUGGAGAUAGCUGGUUCUCCUCGAAAUAGCUUUAGGGCUAGCGUCGUACGGUAGCAUUCUGGGGUAGAGCUCUGUUUCGGACUGGGGGUCGCAAGAUUACCCACCCUUGACAAACUACGAAUACGGAAUGUGGAACUACGGCAGUUAGAACGUGGGGGCUAAGCUCCACGCUCAAAAGGGAAACAGCCCAGACCACCAGCUAAGGUCCCUAAAUAUACACUAAGUGGGAAACGAGGUAGGAUUUCUUGGACAACGAGGAUGUUGGCUUAGAAGCAGCCAUUCAUUUAAAGAGUGCGUAACAGCUCACUCGUCAAGAGAUCCCGCGCGGAAAAUGUAACGGGGCUAAGUGUAUUACCGAAGCUGUGGACUGUACUUUGUACAGUGGUAGAGGAGCGUUGAUAUCAGCGCUGAAGUCAGACUGCGAGGUCUGGUGGAGUGGUAUCAAGUGAGAAUGCUGGAAUGAGUAACCAUAAGGCAGGUGAGAAUCCUGCCCACCGAAAGAGCGAGGUUUCCUGGGCCACGGUAAUCGUCCCAGGGUUAGUCGGGCCUAAGCCGAGGCGCGUAGCGUAGGCGAUGGACAACAGGUUAAUAUUCCUGUACCGGUUAUAGAUUGCUUGGAGUGCGCGGUAUAUUAGUAAGAGCGGGUUCAUGGUUAUACCCGUCUAACCACCUUAAUAAGUGGGAAUGAAAGGGCCCUUACGGGCUUGAUUCUUGUGAAAGUACUGACUAGAAAAGCUUCCAAGCGUGUGUCUAUGGCCGCCCGUACCGCAAACCGACACAGGUGCUCAGGUCGAGAAGACCAAGGUGUACGAGUGAUUCUUCGUCAAGGAACUCGGCAAUACAGCGACCGUAACUUAGGGAUAAGGUCUGCCCCGUCACUAUGUUUAUAAGUGACUAGCCAAGUUUUCAAGAUUAAUAGAGUUAAAAUAUAUGAUUCUAUCGAGAUAAAUCGAGACAAAACAAAUUAAUUCUGGAAGCUUGUGCUUCGUUAACCGACUUGUAAGUAUGGUGACGGGGCCGCAGCGAAAGAACCCAAGCAACUGUUUACCAAAAACACAGGUCUCUGCUAACACGAAAGUGGAUGUAUAGGGGCUGACUCCUGCCCGGUGCUGGAAGGUUAAGGGGAGCGCUUCACGGUGCGAACUGAAGCCCCAGUGAACGGCGGCGGUAACUAUAACCGUCCUAAGGUAGCGAAAUUCCUUGUCAGGUAAGUUCUGACCCGCACGAAUGGAGUAAUGAUAUGGGUACUGUCUCAAGAAGGGACUCGGUGAAAGUGCAUUGGCGGUAAAGAUGCCGUCUGUCCGCAUCAGGACGAAAAGACCCCGUGGAGCUUUACUACAGCUUGACAUUGAGCUGGGUGACAACAUGUGUAGCAUAGGUGGGAGACUAUGAAGCCAACGCGCUAGCGAUGGUGGAGUCUUCAGUGAAAUACCACCCUUGUUGUUACUUUGUUCUUACUUGGACCGUUAUCCGGUUCGAGGACAGUGUCUGGUGGGUAGUUUAACUGGGGCGGUUGCCUCCUAAAGAGUAGCGGAGGCGUUCAAAGGUUGGCUAGCUACGGAUGGAAAUCGUAGUGAUAGUGCAUACGCAUAAGCCAGCUUGACUGUGAGGCCUACAAGCCAAGCAGGCACGAAAGUGGGAGUAAGUGACCCGUUGUCCAUACAUUAUGUAUAUGAGUGUGGAAUCGGCAACGCAAACGGAUAAAAGUUACCCCGGGGAUAACAGGCUUAUAGCGCCCAAUAGUUCACAUAGACGGCGCUGUUUGGCACCUCGAUGUCGGCUCAUCUCAUCCUGGGGCUGGAGCAGGUCCCAAGGGUCCGGCUGUUCGCCGGUUAAAGAGGUACGUGAGCUGGGUUCAGAACGUCGUGAGACAGUUCGGUUUAUAUCCGAUGUGGACAAUAGGAAAUGUGAGGGAAUCUGCCCCUAGUACGAGAGGACCGGGGUGGACGCACCGCUGGUGUACCAGUUGUCUGACCUACAGGCAUUGCUGGGUAGCUAAGUGCGGUCUAGAUAAGCGCUGAAAGCAUAUUAAGCGCGAAACUAAUCCCAAGAUUGCAUUUCCCUAUGGAGAUCCCUGAAAGACGAUCAGGUUGAUAGGCGCAAGGUGUACGUGUAGCAAUACAUUCAGCCAAAGCGUACUAAUAGAUCCAUCGACUUUUUAUG